ACGAAUCCGAAACCCUAGAUCAUCUCCCAUGUAUUUUACUUAGUAUUUUAACCAGAAUCAGCAAAUAAGAAGCAAAAGGUGAAACUUGAUUACGUGUUAGAUGACUUAGAUCGAGUGGGGGCAUCAACGCCUCCACGCCCCCACCAUCCCUCUCUGAACCUCUCGGUCUCCCCCACCAUUAUUUCCUCUCCUCUAUUUUAUUCAUUUCCGCUGAGAUAUUUUCAUCUCUCUCCCCCUCUCGUUCAUCUCCCCUACCUUCUUCCUCGUCAGGCAUACACGCCUCUACUUGUCUCCUCCACCGCAGCACAGUCGCAGAUCCCUUCUUCUUCCUCCCCUCGUCGCCUCUUUCGUCUCCGAUUCUCCGAUGGACGUCGCCGGCCGUCAAGUUUCCUUCAUCCCUUGCGUUUCUCUGUCUGCAUUCUGCUCUAAUCUUAUUGCCUCCCACCUCCUCCGACCUCUCAAUUUUGUCGUUUCUCGACGGAGGUUUGAUUCGUCUGAGAGAGUGAACGUCUUGUUUGGCUGCAAACAAAAUUUCAGAAAUUACGAGCGUAAAUGGAGCUCAGAACUUCGUGAAGGACUAAUCGUCAGCCCUAACCGCUGAACGUCGCGAUAGUAUUAUAAUAAAGGAAAGUGAUUUCUUGUUGGAGAUAUGGAGCUCUCAGGUCCAAGCCUCCGAGAAUAUUAUGUUGCAACAAAGACACGAGAUCAUUGCAGUGCUCUCUAAACAAUAUCAGACUACGUGAACAAGAAGAAAUUAACAGGCAAUAGAAAUUCCAAGAGGGAGGGAGGGAGGGACGGUGGGUGUGGUGGCUUGUGUCAGAAAAUAGAUUUGGUAAUGGCCGCCACAUUCAUGCAUAAAGAUUGUAGUCAUAUGGAAAUGCCUUAUAUGCACGUUUCUUGAUUCAUAGUAAUUUGUUAUGCCUUCAUAUGCUAUAGGCUUCCUUAUGCAGCUAUGUAAUCAGGAGAGGUUCAAUAAAGAGAGGAAGACUUGAAAGUGAAUCACACUAAAUUUCCGUUGCUAUUGCUAAAAGGGUAGAGGAGGCAGGUAAUUUUUAUGUGUGUGUUGAAUCAUCUUAGUUUCAAUGGGAUCCAAGAAGGGAAAAGAGUAAAAGCCAACUCUUACGUUGAACACAAGCCUUAUCCUCGCUAACCAAAUUUAGGAAAAGAUGAUGGAGGAGGCUAUGGGAACUGAUCCAGAAAGAUCAAGACCAUUAUGUAGCGUACUUAGCUUUUGUCAUAUAUGUUAAGCACAUGUUAUCUAGAGGUCUUUGAAAUCAUUCUCUCAGAUUUUAGUAUGCGUAGUUAUGGCCCCCAUGGAGUAGUCCUGUAUUAUUGCACAGCGUCCCUAAACUGCAGUUCCCCUGAUUUUUAGUCUUUUUGCUAUAAACCUCGUUCUCAUAAGAAAAAAGGAAAAUGAGUUGCUCAUAUCAAUCUAUGUUCUUUCUUUCAAAAAAAUAAAAUAAAAAUAAAAAUAAAAAUCAGUUAUCUGAAAUCAUAGGAGAAUAGGUCCAUAGGAAAUUGGAAAAUAGUUUUCCUGGUUCAUUAGGUUGUGCAAUUGCAAAGUCCAAUCAUCAUCAAAGAGUUGAUCCUGCUAAGAAAAAAACCUAGCUGUAAGCUUGAUACAUAAAAUGAUGUUUUGGGGGUGCUGGGUAGAAGGAAAAGAGGCUCCUAGCUAGCUAAUGUAAACUAUCCUUGCCGAGGAGCUGGCAAUAAUUGAGAGCAAAGUGGCAAACAGGUGCAUAACAUAUUGGUACUUGAACAUUAUUUGGGGCCAAAUAUUAUAGAAAAGCUAAGAAACAUUGUAUGAUGGUAUUCUAGUAUAUAGGUACUUGCACAUUAUUCUAGGAUAUUGAUACUUGCACAUUAUUUGGGGCCAAAUAUUAUAGAAAAGCUAAGAAACAUUGUAUGAUGGUAUUCUAGUAUAUAGGUAGCUGGUGGAGAAAAGGCUAUCCUAGCAGUAAUUCUUAGCUGAUCAUUUCAGAUAAUCAGCCAUUUUGGAACCUGGACAUGGUGCUGACUCCCACUGGCGGUAGCAGUGGGGAUUUUUGACAAUGGCAGAAAGCCCAAUUCAACAAUAUCUUGCAAGUGAAUCGGCAGUGUUGCUUGCUUUUGUCAAGUGCUGGAUCAUGAUAGGACUUUUGGAGGAAACCCGAUUAGUUUCGUGGCAGAAUCACGGUAAGAGAAGUGGGGGAAUGCUCUUAAAAUCAAUUCACAUAGUUCGAUGAAGAGAGGAUAUUUUUUCUGUAGUGGAUGAAUUACGGAGAUCUAUGAUGGAAUGACAAAAGCGAAGGGUGCUCUUUGGAUCUUAUUGAUGCCGGAGUGCGGAAGCAUUGCAAGUGAAUGGGAUUAAAUAUCUUAGUAGACCAUUGUGAAUAUUUAGGCCCCAUUUGGUUGACAAAAUGGAAAUGAUUCCAUUUCGUACGGAAAAGGUAGCCCAAGGGGGUUGAAGGGUUUCUAUUUCAUCCCCCCUUUCUGGUGCAUCCUUUUCCCAUGCAACACGUUAGCUUUCACUUAGAAAACAUGGGAAGGGCAUUCAGUCCUUUAGUUAGUGAACUGAACUAAGCCAGAUUGUUCACCUUUUUUCUAUGUAGAUCAGGUGCGUAGUUAACACAUGAGUUCACAAGACUGAAACACAGAAUUGGCGGAGGUGUGCACUUCUAGCGGAGCAUGAGGUUCUACAUGUUGUCAACAACUCUUGGCUUAAGAUGUUUGUCAUAGCCUAUCACGAGUAGGAAGCUAAUUUUGUAUUGCUGAGAAGGCGCUUUUUUUCCAAAAAGGAUUGGUGCAUGCAGUUAAUGAUACUUUGAGAUACUGAAUGGUCUUGCAAUCAAAUGAUAGUGAAAGGAUCUGUUCAGGUUAGUGUACCCAGGGAUUGGUGAUGUGCUAAGAAACUAAUUGAAAUUUAAAGAGUGAUCAUUGUACUGCAGGAGUAUUGAUAAAAUAUCUACCAGUAUCUAAUGAAAAGGGACAACGUAUAGUUUAGCCAGGUCAUAUCUUCCAAAAAUAAAAUAAUAUCAUAUAUCAAAGUUUAGUGUUGCUCUUCCUUUUUUAAUCCUUUGGAGUAUCAUGACUUCAUGAGUCCCUUAAUGUUCCCUUAACCUUAUAGAUUAUCAUCCUCUUAUAGUUUAUCAAUUGAUAGUAGGACUCAUUUCAUUUAUGAACUGGAAUUUCAACUGCCUUAGGAUUUUGAACGAUAGGAAGUUGGGAAAACUUUCUUCAGUACUUCCUUUUGUUAUCUUUACCAAAAUUUCUCUGUACAUUGGUUGAGGGUUCUUGGAAACUGACUGUAAAUCGUAUUUCUGUUGUUGUUUGACAAUCAUCAGUGUUUUUUUUUUUUUUUUUGGCAAUGAUAUGGGAGAUUAUAGAGUUCCAAGUUCUAGGGAUGUGUUGCCCAAUUCUAAAAGGCCAAACUUUUGGUUAUCAGGUGCGAAACGAAGGCUCUAAGUAUCCACCAUAUGUUUUUUCACUUCAGUUGAUUUUAGUUAUGGCAUAAACUAUUGUGGAAAAGGUCGAAUUGGGUUAUUUUAUUCUUGAUUGUUCAAUGAGAUACAUUUUAACACAGAGGCAUCUGUAUUGUGGAAGGAGGCAUCUGUAUUCUGGAAUGUAAUUAAAUGACAUUUUUUUUGUUCUGGUUAUUUCUCUGGCGUCUUCUUGGGAAUCUUACAUCGAUCUCAGACAUAGUAAUGCUUUGUUUUUCCGGGAGAAGAAUAUCUAAUGAGGACUCCAUGAGGACUUUUAAAUCAACAGUUGGAUGACUGGUCUAAUUUUUAGUUGCAAAAUUAUUUCUUCAGCACACAAGUCAUCCAACCGUUGAUAUAAAAGUCCUUAUAGUGUCCUCAUUGUUAAGGUCCUCAUUACAGCCCCGCCCUUGUUGUUCCAUGAAAUAUUAGGCAUUAUAUUAUUUGUGAAAAAAAUGUGGAACUGAAUUAUAGUAGCAUUAGCAUUUAGGGUUUUGUUUUUAGUAUUUAAAUGGAUCCUUCUAUUAACCAGAACAAUCCAUGGAUAGAGUAUUGUUGAAAUUGUUGACAUGAUUAGGUGUUUUAACACUUGUUGAUGCCAUGAGAGCUUUUAUAUGGAUAUGGAACUUGAUUAUGUGAUCCAGGACAAGAGAAUAGUAAAAGAGAGUUCAAUGAUAGUUUUUUCUUUUCUACUCAUUUUGUUGAUUGAUUUCUUUUCCCCUAAACUGGUUAAAGAGAUCAGAGAACUUUGUGUGGUGACAAAAUAAAGGGAUCUGGAAAAUCCUUAGAGGUUUUACUGCCUCUGGGUUGAUUCUUACCAGCAAUUGCAUUUCGAGCCUUGUUCAGAGCUCCAUGCUUGAAUUGAAACACCUCAUAUUGAGAAGAGGUCUCCUGGAGAUUGGAAACAGAUCUUGUCGUGGAAACAAUUUCACCCAUAUGGAACAGACAUAUUUGAUGCUUUCUCUUAGCAAUAGCCUUUGGUCCCAUGUUACUGAACUUGGGAGGUUAGCCAUUCAUGUCUGCUCCUUGGUUCCACUAUUCAGUAAUUCGCAACUUCGUUGCUAUGAUCUGAAAAGGGGAACGAACUAUCUUUAAUGGAAUAAUUUUUGAAACUCUGGUGCUGCUGUGCCGCUAUAGGUGGGCUUUAUCUACAUCACAGGUGUUGAUUUCUUGACUGCUUUUUCAUUCUGCAACUGCAAAUGAUGGUAUCAUGGCUCUGGCUGAUGAAACAACAUUAAAUUCUGACUUGACUUUGGUAAUCUACUAUGUCCAAUAAAUUCCUCUCCUUCAGGCUAUUCAUUUAUGAGACAAGUGGAAGGAAAUAAUCCAUUUCUUGCAGUUUGCAUCUAUAAUAUUUAAGACCAAAUCAUCAAGGUUGGAGUGCUUCAAACCUACGAAUCUAUAUUGGCUAGUGUAGGAGACACGAUAUUGAAUCCACUAUUAGUCGUACAUAGAAUCCCAAUAUUUUCACUGUUAAGUUUCUGUGAUUAACCCUUGAUCACGACUCAACUGUAUUGUUUAAGAAGAGGGCUGAACUUCUUUGCCAGUUGGAAGGAAUAAGUGGUUUGAUAGUAUCGAGUUAUUUCUUGCUAUAGAAACAAAAAUUACUUCUGUUCAUCGACAGUUAUCAAUAAUGAAAUCUGGAUUUGUGAUUUAAAAGAUCUUUCUAAAUUUUGGUGGUUUUUCUAAGCUGUGAAAUGUGGCUACUUGAUGUGUUUACGAACUUCACACUUCCCCAGGAUAUAUAUGUUUAUGGGAUAAGGGUUACCUAUCUCUUUAAAUUUCUGUUGUCCUGUUUUUUUUUUUUUUUUUUUUUAAAUAUUUAUUUUUAUUGUUUUUAUUUAUUUAUUUACCAUGUUAUUACUCGAUCUAUUGCUACAAAUGAUUUUUCUUGAAGUGUAAUUUCUUACUGUUAGGAUCCUUUUAUAUAUUAGGCUUAUUCUUUUAUAUCUUGCGCGCUAUCGUUGUUUUAUGAAGCACUUCUGAUUGGUCUAAAUACUUCACUUUUUGAUUCUGUUCCACUUUGUGUAUCAAGGAAUAAUAUGCAAUAAAGCAUAUUGUGGUUAACGUUGAAGUUUUAUUUGUCAACAAUGAAGCUUUACCAGUUUACUUUUUUCAGAAUUUCUGAUAGUCUCAUAAAUUAUUUGUUUUAUCAAUUCAUAUGCUUUUAUUAUGUUUAUCACAAUCUGCAGUUAUUCAUUUCUUAGAAUGAGAGGCUGCAAUUUGAUUAAAGCAUGCAGCAAAAGUUUGUAUGUCUAUUUGGGAUAGCUGGUCUGAUAAUUACUGAGGAUGAAACUCGUUACUCGUCAGACUGGUGCAUCCACUACUCAGGUUGAACCAUUGUAUGAAAGCUGUACCUCAUAUGCUAUGUGUUCCAACUUCCAACGUACAACCAUGAAUUCAGGUUUGUUUGGAAAUUGAUGUUUCUCUUUUAAAUUUAUUACAUUUGCUCUUUUAAAUUGUUGUUUGGACAAAUAUUAAAGUAUAAUACCUCACGUGUGAAUAAUUUUUGCAUGUGUUGUUCCUGAAAAGUUUCAAGUAUCAUACCAUACAGAUCAGCAGUGACCGACGCCGAUAUUAUCAGUGGUAUCAACUUAAAGCCGAGUUCUUUUUGUAGUAAAUUUGAGAAAGCUCACAAGAUGAAGAUGAAGGCAUACAUCAAGCUGCUUGAUAAAAGUGAUAUUACUAUCUGAAUCCAUAUUAACAAAAAAUAUCCCAAGCUAGUGAAGACCGUGAUAGUCCUAAAUCAAGUACCACUUACCAGAUUAAUGGCAAAAUCAGUAUUCCAAAGGCCCGAUAUCUCUUAGCAACAUACAGUAGCAUCGAGCCUUUGUAGAAUGGAAAUUGUUAUUUGGUAUUUGAGGCUUAAUGUUAAGAGUUUUACGAGUGUGGAGUA